UAGGGAUCAGCGAGGGUUCAAUCAACGACCUCGCUGGCACCUCAUGAGAAAUCAAAGUGUUUGGGUUCCGGGGGGAGUAUGGUCGCAAGGCUGAAACUUAAAGGAAUUGACGGAAGGGCACCACCAGGCGUGGAGCCUGUGGCUUAAUUUGACUCAACACGGGAAAACUUACCAGGUCCAGACAUAGUGAGGAUUGACAGAUUGACAGCUCUUUCUUGAUUCUAUGGGUGGUGGUGCAUGGCCGUUCUUAGUUGGUGGGUUGCCUUGUCAGGUUGAUUCCGGUAACGAACGAGACCUCAGCCGCUAAAUAGUCACUUCCAGUUCGCUGGUCGGUAGACUUCUUAGAGGGACUUUCACCGUCUAGGUGAAGGAAGCGUGAGGCGAUAACAGGUCUGUGAUGCCCUUAGAUGUUCUGGGCCGCACACGCGCUACACUGACGCAACCAACGAGCACUCCUUGGCCGGAAGGCCCGGGUAAUCUCUAAUCUGCGUCGUGAUGGGGAUAGAUUAUUGCAAUUAUUAAUCUUCAACGAGGAAUGCCUAGUAGGCGCAAGUCAUCAGCUUGUGCCGAUUACGUCCCUGCCCUUUGUACACACCGCCCGUCGCUCCUACCGAUUGGGUGUGCUGGUGAAGCGUUCGGAUUGGCUUGCUCGGUGGGCAACCGCUGAGUUUGCCGAGAAGUUCUCUA
rnacentral:rRNA from 1 species